ensembl:misc_RNA Metazoa_SRP Metazoan signal recognition particle RNA
GCCGGGCUCAGUGGCACGUGCCUGUAGUCCCAGCUAUUUGGGAGGCUGAGGCUGGAGGAUCUCUUGGGUCCAGGAGUUCUAGGCUGUAGUGCGCUAUGCAGAUCGGGUGUCCGCACUAAGUUUGGCAUCAAUAUGAUGACCUCCCGGGAGCAGGGAACCACCAGGUUGCCUAAGGAGGGGUGAAUCGGCCCAGGUCGUAAAUGGAGCAGGUCAAAACUCCCAUGCUGGUCAGUAGUGGGAUCACGCCUGUGAAUAGCCACUGCACUCCAGCCUGGGCAGCAAGAGCCCCGUCUCUU